rnacentral:rRNA from 1 species
UACGUAGGGGGCAAGCGUUGUUCGGAAUGACUGGGCGUAAAGGGUGCGUAGGCGGUGUAGCAAGUUAGAAGUGAAAUACCUAGAGCUUAACUCAGGUGCUGCUUCUAAAACUGCUAUACUUGAGUGCAGGAGAGGAGAGUGGAAUUCCAUGUGUAGCGCUGAAAUGCGUAGAUAUAUGGAGGAACACCGGUGGCGAAAGCGGCUCUCUGGCCUGUAACUGACACUGAGGCUCGAAAGCGUGGGGAGCAAACAGG